rnacentral:rRNA from 1 species
GUCAGACGGAAAGACCCCGUGCACCUUUACUACAGCUUUGCAGUGGCCCCAGGAACCGAAUGUGUAGGAUAGGUGGGAGGCUUUGAAGCACAGUCGCUAGAUUGUGUGGAGCCGUCCUUGAAAUACCACCCUUGUAUGUUUGAUGUUCUAACAUUGACCCCUUAUCGGGGUUGUGGACAGUGUCUGGUGGGUAGUUUGACUGGGGCGGUCUCCUCCCAAAG